AUCUGAAGUGUGAAUAGGAUUGGUGAAAGAGUGAAAGAGUGUUGUGUGCUUUUGCUGAGUUUAGGAUGGUGUCAAUUGUGCCUCAGGAGAAGAGUUUAGACAUUCUGUCCUGAUGAAUGUAAUCAAGUCUUUAUUUCAUGGUUUCUCUUAACGCAAAUACGUACAGGUUCAUAUUCGUCGAUGAGGGUGAGAGGAAAACUAUCGCCAACAGAAAGAAUCCAGAUAGGAAGAGAGAAAAAGAAAGACCAGAGAUGGAUUUUGUGUCCUUUUUAAAACAGCCUCAAUCACCUGAUUCCUCCCUGCCACUUCUCUGCAAAUGAUAGAGUUCACACAUCUAUAAUUCUCUCAUAGGUUCAUGUGGGCUGCUCCUCAUAACCCUGCUCAAACACUACUGAGGCAUCAGGAUCUUCAAGAUUCAUAUGAGGAAACUGAAGCGAAAGAAUGUUGACUAAUUUUGUCAAGGUCACACAACUGCUCUCUUUGGUGACUUCCUGAAGCUUGAAGUAUCUUCCUUGGGAGACGUAUUAUAGAAUUUGAAAUCCCACUGGCCAGAUCUCAGCAUGUAGUUUCAUCCCAACUCUACAGAAGUCUGGAAAAUACAGAGAGAACAUGCUCUUUCCCUAGGAAGAAGAGAUGAGAGCUCCAUCUCUCUGCUGGUGGAAGGAGAGGUUGUCUUUCCCUUCCCAUAGGGCAAGAAGAGCUGCCUCCACAUCCUCCUUCUGCUGUAGCUGAAGAGCCUGUUUAAAGGAACAUCCUGAUGGGGCUCAGCCUUUUGACCCCCAGAAAACAUGGCUUUGUCUGCCAUCCUGCAGCUCAUCAUGGGAGCCUGCAAAGUGGUUGGGGGCAGCACACACCAGCAUGCUGUGAAGAGAGGAAAGAGCUGCCGGGAUAACAACCCCGCAGCCACCAUAAUGACUCAGAUUAGAACACAAGGGAACACCAGCCAUUUUUUAGUCUGUCAGUUUUUCUAUUAUCCUCAAGACUGAGCAUGAAACAUUCAUUAUAACACGUCCUUAUUGAUUCAACUGAUGGAAAUAUAUUGGUAUUAAUAACACGAAACUCUAAGGCACUGAGGAUAAUAAAAUGAUUGCGAACAUAA
rnacentral:lncRNA from 1 species